ensembl:lncRNA
UUAAAAGGUUCCUUAACAAAAAUAAAAAAUUCAGUAAUAACUAUUUAAUGAGAAAUUUUUGUCAAAGCAUCAUAUGUGUUAGCUGUUCUUAAAUCACUACAGAAAUGGGUUUGGAUUGCAGCUUUUCCUUUCAAUUUAAGUUGGUGAGCAACCAAAUUAUAAUCAACAUCAAUAGAGCAUACAGGCUUGCACAGUAAAAAAUAAUGUUGAAACAAAAUAGUUUAUGUCAGUUGAAAGAGGGAGAUAGAUUCCCAAGUGGCUCGUAAAGAAAAGGAAAAUAACCAUAAUGAACAGUACAUUGAAUCCAACCUUCUAGUCCUUCCCGAGGCAAAUCUUCCCUUGACUUCAAGCCAUGUUGUUUGUGUAAAAACUUGACCAGGGACUUGAUAUGGGAGAUCUUGCUAAUUUUCAAAUACAAAACCCCUCAAACUUCACAACUCCUUUAACUCUAUGUGUGUUCCUGUGCCUGCUUCCAGUGACUGAGCCUUGUUCUCCAUUAAGAUCUGUGACUUAUUUUAUCUUCCAGUUUUUUGGUUGUUGGAAAUAUUUAUUCUGUUUUGUGUAAAUGAGGAGUUCAAAGCAAACAGGAAAACAUCCCAAAUUCAGAAUCACAGCAAGAUCCUAUUUCACACUAGAUAUCAUUUUGUUCUGUGUCCUCCUAUAGGGUUGGAUUACUGGGUAGAGAUGAAAAGUUGGGUUCUUAGUGAUUAAAGACAUUCAAGUCCUCAUCUUUAAUUCCUUUUGAAAAUUUCUUUUUAAAACAUAGGGGAUGCAUACAUUUUUGUUAUACAUUUUAAAAUAUACUUUAGACUGAAAUAUGUGGAAGAGAAAAUCUAAAUAUGUGUGUAAAAAUCUACAUAUCAGGUACAGAAGAAAUGUCAUAAACCUCACUUAAUGAUGUCAUAAACCUCACCUAAUGCUAACAGAAAUCCAGGUACUGCCUUUCCUGCCUAACUAGGUUUACUGAUCAAGGAAUUUUGUAGAGAUACAUGAAAUGCUUUGCUGAUACUCAGACACAAAAGGCCCCUUCAUACGUACGGAAAGAUGAUGUAAGAAUAUAUUGUGUUGCCUGGACUGGUACUCUUGUGUCCUCCCACAAUGAAGAGCAUGAAUUACAGCUUUACCAUCAACUGUGCAUUUCUUCAGAUAUAUCCAUACUAAUGCCUUCAAGGGUUACCCUGAAUGAUGGCUGGUAAAGCACUGAAUGGAGUCCUUAGGAUUCGAUCCACUAGUAGUAUUUUUCUUCAGUUAUUUUUAUUUUUUUUAUUUUUUUUUCUGAGAAGACAGAGCAGGACUCAUGCCCUACAGAUCCUCUUUACCCUCCCACUGUGGUACUUAUAAAUCUUGUGAUUUUGUUUUGUCUGGCUCAUGUCCAAAAACAGACCUGUCGAAUGAAAGGCAGCUUUGGUAUCAUUUAUCAACGUAACAGUGGGAAUAGUGGGCUGAACAGUAGUUUUGUGCUGUUACCAAGUGAAACCACCAUGAACAGUUACCUAAUUGGAAUAAUAUGGCACAUGUUCCCAUAAUUGCUCUCCUUUGAUAACUUUACUUAGGUCAUGUUUUCUCAGUUAAUUAUCAUUAGAAAAAUAUCUAAUGAAGGUAACAAGGACUAAGGAUUGGGGAAAAAAAUGGGUAUAGGCUGCAGUGUGACUUAUUUUCAGACACAAAUAUUUUCUUUAUAUUAAUGGCAAUAGAAAUGAUAUAACUUGGCAUCGACUGCAAAUGUAAUCAACAACUACGGUUCCCAGGUAUUUAUUAUGACUGAAGGUCAGAGUGGAAGAGGGGUUAUUAAUGAAACUUAAGACAAACUGUCUCAAUUAUGCUGCUGGAGGGCAGAGUCCUGACCUUGUCCUCCUCUGCAGCUGCCCAGACUUCUCCAGACGCAGACAAGAAAUGAAAUCCUUCAGCUUCAGGUAGAUCCUCUCAGGCACUGAAGCCUUGCUCCCACUUGGAGAAAAAAAAAAAUAAUGAAAUGGGUAUUAUUCCAUGCUUAGAACAGGAAUGAAGACAGCACAGCUGCUGUUAAAUUCCAUCACAUUAAUGUAUUUAUGGGAGAGAUGUGAAAGAAUAUAUAUAUAUUAAUAGUUCUGGGCAACUGCUCCAGAAGAAAAUCUUUUCUUCCUUCCACACUCCGUUAUACUCUGUGGAGAACAGUUUAGAUCUUCUGAUAGCAAUACUUCUCAGUAAGUAUUUGCACUAUAUUUCUUUAGUAAAAACUGUAAUUUAAUCUACACAGUCUUUAAAAGUAUAUCUUAACCUGGGAGAUAUGCCUAUAUACUUGAAUGCAUUAGGCUAGUAUCUGUCUCACCUUAUCUCAGGUGCCUAACAGUUAGAAGUCUAAGUCUGACCUGGUGACCUCAGACUCACUUUAUAGUCAGAAGAAGAAAACGGGCAUUCCCAGAUUACCAUCCAUCUUAUUUGAGCUAAGUACACAAGACAGGUCAGAUGAAUUGUGGCCUGGAUUUGCUUCCACUGAGUAUAACAGGAAGCCAGGGUAACUAGCAGAGGUUUAAAUGUUGAACUUUCAUAUGUCUAAAUUAAGGUAGAUGAAUUGCACCCUUAAGUUAUACACACUAAUAAAUUAAACACCACAAGGGAACA